AUAUAUCUAGUUUAUUUUGAAUAUAAGCUUGUCAAGUUUAUGGUGUCUUUGAAGGGGGGACGAUAUGUG
rnacentral:tRNA from 1 species